GAUGAAGAACGUAGCAAAAUGCGAUACUUGGUGUGAAUUGCAGAAUCCCGUGAACCAUCGAGUCUUUGAACGCAAGUUGCGCCCGAAGCCACUAGGCCGAGGGCACGCCUGCCUGGGCGUCACACGUCGUUGCCCCCCCCCCAUCUACUCCUUCGGGAUUGCGGGGGGCGGAUGAUGGCCUCCCGUGCGCCUAGCCGCGCGGUUGGCAUAAAUACCAAGUCCUCGGCGACGCACGCCACGACAAUCGGUGGUUGCGAAACCUCGGUUGCCCGUCGUGUGCGUUCGUCGCGCAUCGAGGGCUCGAAAAAAUGCUCGGCUCCGGCUCGGCUUUCAACGCGACCCCAGGUCAGGCGGGGUUACCCGCUGAAUUUAAGCAUAUCAAUAAGCGGAGGA
rnacentral:misc_RNA from 1 species